UAAGGAAUAUUGGUCAAUGGACGCAAGUCUGAACCAGCCAUGCCGCGUGAAGGAUGAAGGUCCUCUGGAUUGUAAACUUCUUUUAUCUGGGACGAAAACGGGAUUUUUAUCUCAAUUGACGGUACCAGAGGAAUAAGCACCGGCUAACUCCGUGCCAGCAGCCGCGGUAAUGCGGAGGGUGCGAGCGUUAUCCGGAUUUACUGGGUUUAAAGGGUGCGUAGGUGGGCUUAUAAGUCAGUGGUGAAAUCUCCGAGCUUAACUUGGAAACUGCCGUUGAUACUAUAGGUCUUGAAUUAUCUGGAGGUAAGCGGAAUAUGUCAUGUAGCGGUGAAAUGCUUAGAUAUGACAUAGAACACCAAUUGCGAAGGCAGCUUACUACAUAUAAAUUGACGCUGAGGCACGAAAGCGUGGGGAUCAAACA
rnacentral:rRNA from 1 species